rnacentral:rRNA from 1 species
GACGAACGCUGGCGGCGUGCCUAAUACAUGCAAGUCGAGCGAUGGAGGUUGGUACUUGUUCCAACUGGAUUAGCUGCGGACGGGUGAGUAACGCGUGGGUAAUCUACCUUUGAGCGGGGGACAACAUUUGGAAACGAGUGCUAAUACCGCAUAAAAUUUUUAACCACAUGUUUCAAGCUUGAAAGAUGCAAUUGCUUCACUGAAAGAUGACUACCCGUUGUAUUAGCUAGUUGGGGAGGUAAAGGAUCACCAAGGACAUGAUACAUAAGCGACCUGAAAGGCGGAGCUGCAAAAUUGGGACUAGAACACGGCCCAAAAUACUACGGGAGGGAGCAGGAGGGGAUCUUUGGGAAAGGACGAAAGGCUGAACGGGCAACGCCGGGUGAGUGAAGGAGGUUUUCGGGUCGUGAAACUCUGUUAGUAGAGAAGGACGUUAGGGAGAGUGAAACGCGCAGCAAGUGACGGUACCUACCCAGAAAGCCACGGCUAACUACGUG